rnacentral:lncRNA from 1 species
GUGGUUCAAAUAAUUGAAAGAAUUUUUGAAAGCUAAUAGAUUGAAGUUUUAAAAUGAAUAUGAAAAUAAUUUUUAAUUGCAUUGAACUAUAAAAAAUAGGUAAAAUAAAUAAAAAUCUAAUAUUAAAAAAAAUUUACUUUUCAAAUAAUUAAAAUUAAUUUUUCAUAAAAAGCAAAUUACCCCUAAACUAUCUCAUAUUCAUACUCCUAUUUAAUUUCAAAUUACGUUUCCAAUUUUUUUCUAAAUACUCCUCUUUUCCUCCUCCACCCUUCCUUACACAAACAACCCGGACCACCGCUUACAAACAAACCUCCAUAACCACCGCUUCCUCCGCCACCGUUGGGCUUCUCCGUCCGGCCGUCUCGUCAUCGGGGAGUUUCUUCAUAUUCCGGUCCUCAGAGACGUGGAUCAUUCCCCCUCCUCAUCCGUGUUUAUGGACUGGCGUGCCGUGGCUGUUUCCGGGGAGGCGCCGGUGCCGGAGAGUUCGGGCACAACGACGUUAUUUGGGAUUGUGCGAGGUGGCGGCAGACGUGGGUUGUCCAUUGAUUUGUGUUCUGACUUCUGAGAGAACGGUAAGAGAGAUCCGAGGGCAACUGGGUUUUUUGAGAAAGGCGGAUGGUGAUCUAAAGAAGGCAAAGAUCAAGUUCAAGAACACUGGGUUUUGAGAAAGGCGGAUGAAGAUGGGAUUUUUGGGGUAGAUGGGAUGGUAUCAAUGUGGGACAUUGGGUUUUGAGAAAGAUUCUGACAUUUGGUUUUUUUUUUUUACUCUUUUUCUAAGAUUGUUGUCGGAGAAUGUGAUACUAAAGAUAAAAAAGAGAGGAAAAGAAGAAUGGUGUCUAGUAAAAAAGGCCAAUUUAGUUAUUUGAAUUUAAUUUUAUAUUUUAUAAUGUAAUGUCAUUUUUUUUUUUAAUAAUUGUGCAUUGGCCUCCAACAACUAAUCAUAAAAGGGAACCGAGGGAG